UCCACGUGGUAGGCUCCUUUGGGCUUG
rnacentral:piRNA from 1 species